AGAGACUGUCGGGUAACACUAAAAGGUUAAGGUACUACACUGUUAUCGUAUCUUACAAUGUCUGUAUACACUAUAGUGAGAGACUGUCGGGUAACACUAAAAGGUUAAGGUACUACACUGUUAUCAUAACUUACAAUGUCUGUAUACACUAGAGUGAGAGACUGUCAGGUAAUACUAAAAGGUAAAGGUACUACACUGUUAUCAUAACUUACAAUGUGUGUAUACACUAUAGUGAGAGACUGUCAGGCAAUCCUAAAAGGUAAAGGUACUACACUGUUAUCAUAACUUACAAUGUCUGUAUACACUCUAGUGAGAGACUGUCAGGUAACACUAAAAGGUAAAGGUACUACACAGUUAUCAUAACUUACAAUGUCUGUAUACACUAUCGUGAGAGACUGUCAGGCAAUACUAAAAGGUAAAGGUACUACACUGUUAUCAUAACGUACAAUGUCUGUAUACACUGUAGUGAGAGACUGUCAGGUAUUACUAAAAGGUAAAGGUACUACACUGGUAUCAUAACUUACAAUGUCGGUAUACACUAUAGUGAGAGACUGUCAGGCAAUACUAAAAGGUUAAGGUACUACAUGUACACUGUUCUCUGUAUUUGUCUGUUUACAUACUGGGAAGUAUCUAAUAAACGAGUUAUAUAUUACA